CAUCUAACGUUUGCCACGUGAUCAGGCUCCCAGCCCUAAUUACGCGCAGAAAGCGGGGUCAAGUGAUGAAGGGGAGGCUGCUGAUUGGUCGGAGAGUGCGUGUGUUCCUCCCUACUGUCAGCUUGGGAUCUUUCUAACCGGCGCAAGCAGCAACCCCCACGUGCGUCACGUUUGCCAGGGGCGCCGCCGACAGCCGUCCCCCCCGUCGACAGCAGCAAUCGACCGCUCCGGGGAAAGGGCGACGGGGGAGGAGGGUUCGCCUCCGUCUACUCCUCCGGCGUGGGAUAGUGUCUCGCCGGUUGCUCUUCCCGCCGCCGUCGCCACUCCCGCAGCUUCAGCAUGGGCGCCGCGGCUGCGUCCGUGGCUCGCGCCCUCCUCCAGGGCCUCAAAUCCAUGGCCCGCGACGUGCUGGCCGUGCUUGCCGUGGUCGCCUUCUUCCUGACGCCCGUGGCCGCGCUGCCCUACACGCGGGCCUACGUUCCCAACACCUACACGCUGUCGAGCUCAAACUGCUCGGCGUGGGCAAUGCGCCUGCUCAGCUGGGUCCUGCUGCUGCCCGGCACGGUGUCCGUGUUCCUGGUGCUGUUGCUGGUGCCACCGCUCUGCAUCCCGCGCCGCUGGAAGUACCGCGCCGUCGUCGAGAACUACAAGGUGGGCCCGCAGACGCAAGUCCGGGUCCAGUCGCCCUUCUUCGACAGGCAGUACCGGCUCUAGACGGUGCCCGAGCAGCUCCGCCGGAAGCAGAGGUCCCCCGGCCGCGUUCUCCGAGCGAUGCAUCGAACCAAAGUAUUACACUCGAGUCUGUAAAUAACUCCGCGAGGCAACUCGUUUUCUCUCCUUUUUCUUUGGCCCCUAUACCUUCGUUUACACUUCUCAAGACUCAUGCCCUGUGUACAGUAAAAAAAACUCUCACGUGAA